rnacentral:rRNA from 1 species
UACAGAGGUCCCGAGCGUUGUUCGGAUUCAUUGGGCGUAAAGGGUGCGUAGGCGGCGGGGAAAGUCUGAUGUGAAAUCCUGGGGCUCAACCCUGGAACUGCAUUGGAUACUUCCUUGCUAGAGUACUGGAGAGGAAACUGGAAUUUACGGUGUAGCAGUGAAAUGCGUAGAGAUCGUAAGGAAGACCAGUGGCGAAGGCGAGUUUCUGGACAGUUACUGACGCUGAGGCACGAAGGCCAGGGGAGCAAACGGGG